rnacentral:rRNA from 1 species
CAGUAGCCACGGUAAUACGGAGGGUGCAAGCGUUAAUCGGAAUUACUGGGCGUAAAGCGCACGCAGGCGGUCUGACAAGUCAGAUGUGAAAACCCCGGGCUUAACCUGGGAACUGCAUUUGAAACUGUCAGGCUGGAGUCUUGUAGAGGGGGGUGGAAUUCCAGGUGUAGCGGUGAAAUGCGUAGAGAUCUGGAGGAAUACCGGUGGCGAAGGCGGCCCCCUGGACAAAGACUGACGCUCAGGUGCGAAAGCGUGGGGAGCAAACAGGAUUAGAUACCCCUGUAGUCCCUGUCUCUUAUAA